GACGAACGCUGGCGGCGUGCUUAACACAUGCAAGUCGAACGGUGAAGGGACUGGUUUUGCUGGUCCUGGAUGAGUGGCGAACGGGUGAGUAACACGUGAGUAACCUGCCCCCUUCUUCUGGAUAACCGCAUGAAAGUGUGGCUAAUACGGGAUAUUCUGGGUCUGUCGCAUGGCGGGCCUGGGAAAGAUUGCGCCUUUUUUGGUGUUUUUGGUGGGGGAUGGGCUCGCGGCCUAUCAGCUUGUUGGUGGGGUGAUGGCCUACCAAGGCGGUGACGGGUAGCCGGCCUGAGAGGGUGGACGGUCACACUGGGACUGAGACACGGCCCAGACUCCUACGGGAGGCAGCAGUGGGGAAUAUUGCACAAUGGGCGCAAGCCUGAUGCAGCGACGCCGCGUGAGGGAUGGAGGCCUUCGGGUUGUGAACCUCUUUCGCCAGUGAAGCAGGCCUGCCUCUUUUUGUGGGUGGGUUGACGGUAGCUGGAUAAGAAGCGCCGGCUAACUACGUG
rnacentral:rRNA from 1 species